rnacentral:tRNA from 1 species
GCGGCUGUGGUGGAAUUGGUAGACACGCUAGACUUAGGAUCUAGUGCCGAAAGGUGUGGGGGUUCGACUCCCUUCAGCCGUACAA